AAAUAGAUAAGCUAAAAAAGCUAUUAGGUUCAUACCCUACUCAUAAAGGUUUACCCCUUUUCUAUUUA
rnacentral:tRNA from 1 species